rnacentral:rRNA from 1 species
GACCUCAAAUCAGGUAGGACUACCCGCUGAACUUAAGCAUAUCAAUAAGCGGAGGAAAAGAAACUAACAAGGAUUCCCCUAGUAACUGCGAGUGAAGCGGGAAAAGCUCAAAUUUAAAAUCUGACAGUCUUUGGCUGUCCGAGUUGUAAUCUAGAGAAGUGUUAUCCGCGCUGGACCGUGUACAAGUCUCCUGGAAUGGAGCGUCAUAGAGGGUGAGAAUCCCGUCUUUGACACGGACUACCAGGGCUUUGUGAUGCGCUCUCAAAGAGUCGAGUUGUUUGGGAAUGCAGCUCAAAAUGGGUGGUAAAUUCCAUCUAAAGCUAAAUAUUGGCGAGAGACCGAUAGCGAACAAGUACCGUGAGGGAAAGAUGAAAAGAACUUUGGAAAGAGAGUUAAACAGUACGUGAAAUUGCUGAAAGGGAAACGCUUGAAGUCAGUCGCGUUGUCCAGGGAUCAACCUUGCUUUUGCUUGGUGCACUUUCUGGUUGACGGGUCAGCAUCAAUUUUGACCAUUGGAAAAAGAUUAAGGGAAUGUGGCAUCUUUGGAUGUGUUAUAGCCCUUGGUUGCAUACGAUGG